rnacentral:tRNA from 1 species
AGUCUACAGGUCAAACGGUUAAGAUGCCACCCUGUCACGGUCGGAGGAGCGGGUUCAACUCCCGUGUAGACUG